AGAACAACUCUCGGCAACGGAUAUCUCGGCUCUCGCAUCGAUGAAGAACGUAGCGAAAUGCGAUACUUGGUGUGAAUUGCAGAAUCCCACGAACCAUCGAGUCUUUGAACGCAAGUUGCGCCCGAAGCCUUCUGGCCGAGGGCACGUCUGUCUGGGCAUCACGC
rnacentral:rRNA from 1 species